CUAAUGUGUUGCAUACUUGCAUUAUUUUGGUCACAUCUGUCAGGAGGGAGUAGUACAGGAGAUUGAAGGUCCACUGGAGGAAGUCGGAUCACUCAUGCCACACAAGAUUCUUACCACGGUGCACCUCAUUCACAACUGGAGACAAUAAGUGGUCGACGUCGUUAGGUUUCAUUUCCUGUCCAAGAUGAAAUCCGUAGCUCAAGUAGCUACAGUUCUUCUAACUAUCCGUUGUACAAGGCCCAAUCUAUAAUUCUUAUGCAUGGUAACGGCAAUCGGGUCAGGGACCACCAGGCGAAGUACCACCAUCGAUCAUACAUGGGUAUGUAAACUAUACACCCCCUCCACCGCCAUAUUCAAAUUUGUCACAUAUGUAUCCACCAGGACCACAGUAUGGGUAUGGACAAGUUCCUGCUGCACCAGUAUGUUAUUUUUGCUUCAUGGAUAAGUAUUUAUUUGUCGUUAUUUUUUUCUCGCUAAUGUAUCUCAUAUCUUUUGUAUAGAGCUAUCACUAUCACUAUGACGGAUUGGAACUGAAAGGGAAAUAGGCUUACACCUUUUCCAAAUUGAUUUUGGUGGUUGAAAUGCCCAACACAAAUAAUUGGACUAACUAAUUUGCUCUAGAUUAUGAGUUCUACAGGUGCCAAAGGUUCACAACAAACCAAUAUAAAGACCGAGAAAGGAUUCAAAUAUAGAAAGCUAAAGUCAACCGAAGUGUGCCCUGGUCUGGCGCACCGGACUGUCCGGUGUGCCACCGGACAGUGUCCGGUGCACCAGGGACUCCAACUCCGAACUGCUCACCUUCGGAAAUUCUGGAGGCUGCUCCGCUAUAAUUCACCGGACUGUCCGGUGAAGCACCGGACAGUGUCCGAUGGGGCACCGGACUGUCCGGUGUGCCAGCGGAGCAACGACUACUUCAGCGCCAAUGGUCGCCUGCAACCGCAUUGAAUGUGCUACAGUGCGCGCAGAUGUCAGGCUCGCGCCAGGAGGCGCACUGGACAGUCUACAGGACCUGUCCGGUGCACCACCGGACUGUCCGGUGACCCAGAAGACAGAAGCUCCAACGGUCAGAAUCCAACGGCCAGGUGAUGUGGCAGGCGCACCGGACAGUGUCCGGUGGCGCACCGGACUGUCCAGUGUGCCAUGCGACAGACAGCCUCCCAACGACCACUUUUGGUGGUUGGGGCUAUAAAUACCCCAACCACCCACUAUUCAUUGCAUCCAAAUUUUCCAACUUCCCACAUCUUACAAGAGCUAUAACAUUCAAUACAAGACACACCAAAGAGAUCAAACCCUCUCCCAAAUCCAUAGUUUAUUCCAAAUCAAAUAGUGACUAGAGAGAGAGUGACUUGUGUUCAUUUGAGCUCUUGCGCUUGGAUUGCUUCUUUUUCUCAUUCUUUCUUGUGAUCAACUCAAUUGUAACCAAGGCAAGAGACACCAAUUGUGUGGUGGUCCUUCCGAGGACUUUGUGUCCCGUUUGAUUGAGAAGAGAAGCUCACUCGGUCUAAGUGACCGUUUGAGAGAGGGAAAGGGUUGAAAGAGACCCGGUCUUUGUGACCACCUCAACGGGGAGUAGGUUUGCAAGAACCGAACCUCGGUAAAACAAAUCCUUGUGUCUCACUCUUUAUUUGCCUACGAUUUGUUUUUCGCCCUCUCUCUCGGACUCGUUCAUAUUUCUAACGCUAACCCGGCUUGUAGUUGUGCUUAAGUUUAUAAAUAUCAGAUUUGCCCUAUUCACCCCCCUCUAGGCGACUUUCAAUUGGUAUCAAAGCUCGGUGCUUCAUUAGAGCUUAACCGCUCGAAGUGAUGUCGGGAGAUCACGCCAAGAAGAUGGUGAUCGGCGGUGAGAAGUCCGCUACAAGCCACGGGAAGGCUCCAUCAAGGGAGUCCGCCAACAACAAGAAGGAUGGAUCCCCUUCACGCAUUCGAUCACACAAGAGUGGCGAGAAGAAGAAAAUGAAGAAAGUGGUCUACUACGAGACCGACUCUUCCUCGCCCUCUACAUCCGGAUCCGACGCCGCGUCCGUCACUUCUAAGCGCCAAGAGCGCAAGAAGUAUAAUAAGAUCCCCCUACGCUAUCCUUGCAUUCCUAAGCAUACUCCAUUACUUUCCGUCCCAUUAGGCAAACCACCGACGUUUGACGGUGAAGAUUAUUCUAGGUGGAGUGAUAUGAUGAGAUAUCACCUAACCUCACUCCACAAAAGCAUAUGGGAUGUUGUUGAGUUUGGUGUACAGGUACCAUCCGUCGGGGAUGAAGAUUAUGAUGAGGACGAGGUGGCCCAAAUCGUGCACUUCAACUCCCAAGCCACCACUAUACUCCUCACCUCUCUAAGUCGAGAGGAGUAUAACAAGGUGCAAGGAUUAAAGAGCGCCAAGGAGAUUUGGGACGUACUCAAGACCACGCACGAAGGAGACGAGGUGACCAAGAUCACCAAGCGGGAGACGAUCGAGGGGGAGCUCAGUCGCUUCCGGCUUCGCCAAGGGGAGAAGCCACAAGAGAUGUACAACCGGCUCAAGACCUUGGUGAACCAAGUGCGCAACCUCGGGAGCAAAAAAUGGGAUGACCAUGAAAUGGUCAAGGUUAUUCUUAGAUCACUCGUUUUUCUUAACCCUACGCAAGUACAAUUAAUACGUGGUGAUCCUAGAUACACACUAAUGUCUCCCGAGGAAGUAAUAGGAAAAUUUGUGAGCUUUGAGUUGAUGAUCAAAGGCUCAAAGAAAAUCAUCGAGCAAGAUGGCCCCUCCACGCCCGAAGCACAACCGGUCGCAUUCAAGGUGACGAAGGAGAAGAAGGAGGAGUCUACAUCAAGUAGACUACCCAUCGACGCCUCCAAGCUCGACAAUGAGGAGAUGGCGCUCAUCAUCAAGAGCUUUCGCCAAAUCCUCAAGCAAAGGUGGAGAAAGGACUACAAAUCUCGCUCCAAUAAAGUGUGCUACAAGUGUGGUAAGCCCGGUCACUUUAUUGCAAAAUGUCCAUUAUCAAGUGACAGUGACAGGGGCGACGACAAGAAGGGAAGGAGGAGAGAAAAGAAGAGGUUCCACAAGAAGAAGGGUGGCGAUGCCCAUGUGUGCCGUAAGUGGGACUCCGACGAGAGCUCCACCGACUCCUCCUCCAACGAGGAUGCCGCCAACAUCGCCGUCAGCCCGUCACUAAGGGCCUCCUCUUCCCCAACGUCGGCCACAAGUGCCUCAUGGCAAAGGACGGCAAAAGGAAGAAGGUAAAAUCAAAAUCCUCCACUAAAUAUGCAUCCUCUAGUGAUGAAGAUAAUUCUAGUGAUGAGGAGGAUAAUUUGCGCACCCUUUUUGCCAACCUAAACAUGCAACAAAAAGAAAAAUUAAAUGAAUUAAUUAGUGCUAUUCAUGAGAAGGAUGAACUCUUGGACACCCAAGAGGACUUCCUAAUUAAGGAAAAUAAGAAGCAUGUUAAGGUUAAGAAUGCUUAUGCUCUAGAGGUAGACAAAUGUGAAAAAUUAUCUAAUGAGCUAAGCAUGUGCCAUGAUAUUAUUGCCAACCUUAGAAAUGAGAAUGAUAAAUUAAUUGCUAAGGUUGAUUCAAAUGUUUGUGAUGAUUUAAUUCCCAAUCAUAGAGAUGAUAAUGUUAGUUUACUUGCUAAGAUUGAAGAAUUAAAUGUCUCUCUUGCUAGCCUUAAAAUUGAGAAUGAAAAAUUAAUUGCUAAGGCUAGAGACUUAGAUGUUUGCAAUAUUACCAUUUCCAAUCUUAGAAGUGAAAAUGAUAUUUUACAUGCUAAGAUUGUUGAACUAAAAUCUUGCAAACCCUCUACAUCUACCGUUGAGCAUGUUUCUAUUUGCACUAGAUGUAGAGACAUUAAUGUUGAUGCUAUUCAUGAUCACCUAGCUUUAAUUAAGAAACAAAAUGAUCACAUAGCCCAACUUAAUGCCAAAAUUAAUGAGCAUGACUUAGAAAAUGAAAAAUUUAAAUUUGCUAGAAGUAUGCUCUAUAGUGGGAGACGCCCUGGCAUCAAGGAUGGCAUUGGCUUCCAAAAGGGAGACAAUGUCAAACUUAAUGCCCCUCCUAAAAGAUUGUCUAACUUUGUUAAGGGCAAGGCUCUCAUGCCUCAGGAUAACGAGGGUUACAUUUUGUACCCUGCCGGUUAUCCCGAGCACAAAAUUAGGAGAAUUCACUCUAGGAAGUCUCACUCUGGCCCUAAUCAUGCUUUUAUGUAUAAGGGUGAGACAUCUAGCUCUAGGCAAUCAACCCGUGCAAAAUUGCAUAAGAAGAAAACUCCUAUUGCAUCAAACGAUUCUAACAUUUCAUUUAAGGCUUUUGAUGCAUCUUAUGUUUUGACUAACAAAUCCGGCAAAGUAGUUGCCAAGUAUGUUGGGAGCAAGCACAAGGGGUCAAAGACUUGUGUUUGGGUACCUAAAGUUCUUGUAUCUAAUGUCAAAAGACCCAAAACCGUUUGGAUACCUAAAAUCAAGAACUAAAUUUGUUUUGUAGGUUUAUGCAUCUGGGGGCUCAAGUUGGAUCAUCGAUAGUGGGUGCACAAACCAUAUGACAGGAGAGAAGAAGAUGUUCUCCUCCUACGAGAAAAACCAAGAUCCCCAACGAGCUAUCACAUUCGGGGAUGGGAAUCAAGGUUUGGUCAAAGGAUUGGGUAAAAUAGCUAUAUCACCUGACCAUUCCAUUUCAAAUGUUUUUCUUGUAGAUUCUUUAGAUUACAACUUGCUUUCAGUUUCGCAAUUAUGUAAAAUGGGUUACAACUGACUUUUUACGGAUAUAGGUGUUACUGUCUUUAGAAGAAGUGAUGAUUCAGUAGCAUUUAAGGGAGUGUUAGAGGGUCAGCUAUACUUGGUAGAUUUUGAUAGAGCUGAACACGACACUUGCUUAAUUGCUAAGACUAACAUGGGCUGGCUCUGGCAUCACCGACUAGCACAUGUUGGGAUGAAGAAUCUUCACAAGCUUCUAAAGGGAGAGCAUAUUUUGGGACUAACAAAUGUUCAUUUUGAGAAAGACAGGAUUUGUAGCGCAUGCCAAGUAGGGAAGCAAGUUGGGGUUCAUCAUCCACAUAAGAACAUCAUGACGACUGACAGGCCACUCGAGCUCCUACACAUGGAUCUAUUCGGUCUGAUAGCUUACAUAAGCAUCGGCGGGAGUAAGUACUGUCUAGUUAUUGUGGAUGAUUAUUCUCGCUUCACUUGGGUAUUCUUUUUGUAGGAAAAAUCUCAUACCCAAGAGACCUUAAAGGGAUUCUUGAGACGGACUCAAAAUGAGUUCGGCUUGAGGAUCAAAAAGAUUAGAAGCGACAACAGAACGGAGUUCAAGAACUCACAAAUCGAAGGCUUCCUUGAGGAGGAGGGCAUCAGGCAUGAGUUCUCUUCUCCCUACACACCACAACAAAAUGGUGUAGUGGAGAGGAAGAAUAGAACUCUAUUGGACAUGGCAAGGACCAUGCUUGAUGAGUACAAGACCUCGGAUCGGUUUUGGGCCGAGGCGGUCAACACCGCUUGCUACGCCAUCAACCGGUUGUAUCUACACCGAAUCUUCAAGAAGACAUCAUAUGAACUCCUAACCGGUAAAAAGACCAAUGUUUCAUAUUUUAGAGUCUUUGGUAGCAAAUGCUUUAUUCUUGUCAAAAGAGGUAGAAAAUCCAAAUUUGUUCCUAAGGCUGUAGAAGGUUUUUUACUAGGAUAUGAUUCAAACACAAGGGCAUAUAGAGUCUUUAACAAGUCCUCUGGACUAGUUGAAGUUUCUUGUGACAUUGUGUUUGAUGAGACUAACGGCUCUCAAGUAGAGCAAGUUGAUCUUGAUGAGCUAGAUGAUGAAGAGGCUCCGUGUGUCGCGCUAAGGAACAUAUCCAUUAGGGAUGUGUGUCCUAAGGAAUCCGAAGAGCCUCCACAAGCACAAGAUCAACCAUCUUCCUCCAUGCAAGCAUCUCCACCGACUCAAGAUGAGGAUGAGGCUCAGAAUGAUGAAGGAGAAGAUCAAGAAGAGGAGCCACCUCAAGAGGAGAGCAAUGAUCAAGGGGGAGGUGCCCAUGAUCAAGAUGAGGAAGAUGAAUAAGUUCCAAGACCGCCACACCCAAGAGUCCACCAAGCAAUUCAACGAGAUCACCUCGUGAACACCAUCCUCGGCGAUAUUCAAAAGGGGGUAACUACUCGAUCUCAUGUUGCUCAUUUUUGUGAACAUUACUCUUUUGUUUCCUCUAUUGAGCCACACAGGGUAGAGGAAGCACUUCAAGAUUCGGAUUGGGUGAUGGCGAUGCAAGAGGAGCUCAACAAUUUCACAAGGAAUGAGGUAUGGCAUUUAGUUCCACGUCCUAACCAAAAUGUUGUAGGAACCAAGUGGGUCUUCCGCAACAAGUAAGAUGAGCAUGGUGUGGUGACAAGGAACAAAGCCCAACUUGUGGCCAAGGGAUAUUCACAAGUCGAAGGUUUGGAUUUCGGUGAAACCUAUGCACCCGUAGCUAGGCUUGAGUCAAUUCGCAUAUUACUUGCCUAUGCUACUUACCAUGGCUUUAAGCUUUACCAAAUGGACGUGAAAAGUGUCUUCCUCAAUGGACCAAUCAAGGAGGAGGUCUAUGUUGAGCAACCUCCCGGCUUUGAAGAUAGUGAGUACCCUAACUAUGUUUACAAACUCUCUAAGGCGCUUUAUGGGCUCAAACAAGCCCUAAGAGCAUGGUAUGAAUGCCUAAGAGAUUUCCUUAUCACUAAUGGCUUCAAAGUCGGAAAGGCUGAACCUACUUUAUUUACUAAAACUCUUGCAAAUGAUUUGUUUGUAUGCCAAAUUUUAUGUUGACGAUAUUAUAUUUGGGUCUACUAACGAAUCUACAUGUGAGGAAUUUAGUAGGAUCAUGACACAAAAAAUCGAGAUGUCUAUGAUGGGGGAGUUGAAGUACUUCUUAGGAUUUCAAGUGAAGCAACUCCAAGAGGGCACCUUCAUUAGCCAAACGAAGUAUAUUCAAGACAUUCUAAACAAGUUUGGGAUGAAGGAUGCCAAGCCCAUCAAGACACCCAUGGGAACCAAUGGGCAUCUCGACCUCGACACGGGAGGUAAGUCCGUAGAUCAAAAGGUAUACCGGUCGAUGAUAGGUUCUUUACUUUAUUUAUGUGCAUCUCGACCGGACAUUAUGCUUUCUGUAUGCAUGCGUGCAAGAUUCCAAGUCGAUCCUAAGGAAGCUCACCUUAGGGCCGUAAAACGAAUCUUGAGAUAUUUAGUUUAUACUCUUAAGUUUGGCCUUUGGUACCCUAGGGGAUCCACAUUUGAUUUAAUUGGUUAUUCGGAUGCCGAUUGGGCAGGGUGUAAAAUUAAUAGAAAGAGCACAUCGGGGACUUGCCAGUUCUUGGGAAGGUCUCUGGUGUCUUGGGCUUCAAAGAAGCAAAAUUCUGUAGCUCUUUCUACCGCCGAAGCCGAGUAUAUUGCCGUAGGCCAUUGUUGCGCGCAAUUGCUUUGGAUGAGGCAAACCCUUAGGGACUAUGGUUACAAAUUAACCAAAGUUCCUCUUCUAUGUGAUAAUGAGAGUGCAAUCCGCAUGGCGGAUAAUCCCGUUGAACAUAGCCACACUAAACACAUAGCCAUUCGGUAUCAUUUCUUAAGGGAUCGCCAACAAAAGGGGGAUAUCGAGAUUGCAUAUAUUAACACCAAAGAACAAUUAGCCGAUAUCUUUACCAAGCCACUAGAUGAACAAACAUUUAACAAACUUAGGCAUGAGCUAAAUAUUCUUGAUUCUCGGAAUUUCUUUUGAUGUUUUGCACACAUAACUCAUUAAUAUUCCUUUGAUCAUAUCUCUUUUAUAUGCUAUGACUAAUGUGUUUUCAAGUGUAUUUCAAACCAAGUCAUAAAUUGAAAGGGAAAAGGAGUCUUCAGCGAAGACAAAGGCUUCCACUCCACUCCAUCAAGUUACUCAUCCUUCACCGUCGCUCUGCGCCGCUCUCCGUCUUUGGUAUAAUCGUCACUCAUAUUUUGUUUGCCAAAGGGGGAGAAAGUAGUUAAUAAAGGGCUUAUAUUUCACUCAAAUAUCCGUUUUUGGCGAUUCAUGCCAAAGAGGGAGAAAGUAUUAGCCCAAAGCAAAAGGAUCGCACCACCAACAAUUUUCAAAAAAUUAAGUUAAGAAAAGAUUUCUCAAAUGGUGGUUUUCCAUGAUGUUUUUCCAAUUGGUAUCUUAUUUUUGAUAGAAUUUCGAAUUGGUACAUCCUCUUCAAAACUAAUAACCAAAACCCUCUUGAACACUAAGAGGAGGAUUUUAUUGAGGGGGAGUUUUGUCUAGUCAAAGAAAAAGCAUUUGAAACAAGGGGAGAAAAUUCAAAUCUUGAAAAUGCUUCUCAAAAUCUUAUUCAUGUAUCCUUUGACCAUUUGCAAAAGGACUUUGAAAAGAAUUUACAAAAGAAUUUGCAAAGACAAAACAUGUGGUGCAAGCGUGGUCCAAAAUGUUGAAAAUGAAAAAGAAAUCAAUCCAUGCAUAUCUUAUGAAAAUAUAUUGGUUCAAUUCUUAGUAACCUUUGCACUUACAUUCUGCAAACUAGUUCAAUUAUGCACUUCUAUAUUUGCUUUGGUUUGUGUUGGCAUCAAUCACCAAAAAGGGGGAGAUUAAAAGGGAAAUAGGCUUACACCUUUUCCAAAUUGAUUUUGGUGGUUGAAAUGCCCAACACAA
rnacentral:lncRNA from 1 species